UGGGCUUGACAUCCCACGAACCUUCCCGAAAGGGUUGGGUGCCCGCAAGGGAGCGUGGAGACAGGUGGUGCAUGGCUGUCGUCAGCUCGUGUCGUGAGAUGUUGGGUUAAGUCCCGCAACGAGCGCAACCCUCACCCCUUGUUGCCACCGGGUAAAGCCGAGCACUCUAGGGGAACUGCUAGCGUCAAGCUGGAGGAAGGCGGGGAUGACGUCAAGUCAUCAUGCCCCUUACGCCCUGGGCUACACACGUGCUACAAUGGGGCCGACAAAGAGACGCAAAGCCGCGAGGUAGAGCAAAACUCAAAAACGGUCUCUAAGUUCAGAUUGCAGUCUGCAACUCGACUGCAUGAAGGGGGAAUCGCUAGUAAUCGCGCAUCAGCACGGCGCGGUGAAUACGUUCCCGGGCCUUGUACACACCGCCCGUCACACCACGAAAGCCGGCUGUACUCGAAGUCGCUGAG
rnacentral:rRNA from 1 species